rfam:Gossypium raimondii chromosome 6, whole genome shotgun sequence.
CACAUUAGUGCGAGAUGCAGAACAUGGAAGGAAAUUGCAUCCUUGAAAGCGCGAUUUCCUUCCACAUCAGCAUCUCGCGCUGACGUGG